rnacentral:rRNA from 1 species
AGUGAACGCUGGCGGUAGGCCUAACACAUGCAAGUCGAACGGCAGCACCGUACGAGCUUGCUCUUACGGGUGGCGAGUGGCGGACGGGUGAGGAAUACAUCGGAAUCUACUUUUUCGUGGGGGAUCACGUAGGGAAACUUACGCUCAUACCGCAUACGACCUACGGGUGAAAGCAGGGGAUCUUCGGACCUUGCGCGAUUGAAUGAGCCGCUGUCGGAGUAGCUAGUUGGCGGGGUAAAGGCCCACCAAGGCGACGAUCCGUAGCUGGUCUGAGAGGAGGAUCAGCCACACUGGAACUGAGACACGGACCAGACUCCUACGGGAGGCAGCAGUGGGGAAUAUUGGGCAAUGGUCGCAAGCCUGAUCCAGCCAUACCGCGUGGGUGAAGAAGGCCUUCGGGUCGUAAAGCCCUUUUUUUGGGAAAGAAAAGCAGCAGGUUAAUACCCCGCGGUUCUGACGGUACCCAAAGAAUAAGCACCGGCUAACUUCGUG